GAUGAACGCUGGCGGCGUGCCUAAUACAUGCAAGUCGAGCGAACAGACGAGGAGCUUGCUCCUCUGACGUUAGCGGCGGACGGGUGAGUAACACGUGGAUAACCUACCUAUAAGACUGGGAUAACUUCGGGAAACCGGAGCUAAUACCGGAUAAUAUAUUGAACCGCAUGGUUCAAUAGUGAAAGACGGUUUUGCUGUCACUUAUAGAUGGAUCCGCGCCGCAUGAGCUAGUUGGUAAGGUAACGGCUUACCAAGGCAACGAGGCGUAGCCGACCUGAGAGGGUGAUAGGCCACACUGGAGCGGAGACACGGUCCAGACUCCUACGGGAGGGAGCAGUAGGGAAUCUUCCGCAAUGGGCGAAAGCUUGACGGAGCAACGCCGCGUGAGUGAUGAAGGUCUUCGGAUCGUAAAACUCUGUUAUUAGGGAAGAACAACUGUGUAAGUAACUAUGCACGUCUUGACGGUACCUAGUCAGAAAGCCACGGCUAACUACGUG
rnacentral:rRNA from 1 species